GACGAACGCUGGCGGCGUGCCUAAUACAUGCAAGUAGAACGGUAAGGCACUGCUUUUGUGGGGUGCUUGAGUGGCGAACGGGUGAGUAACGCGUGAGUAACCUGCCUUUUACUGUGGGAUAACUUUAGGAAACUGGGGCUAAUACCGGAUAGGAGUAGAUGUUGCAUGGCGGUGGCUUGAAAGUUUCGUUGGUUGGGGUAGGACUUGCGGCUGAUCAGUGUGUAGGUGGGGUAGUGGCUUAGCAUGGCGUGGGCGGUUAGCCGUACUGGGAGGGUGACCGGCCACAUAGGGACAGGGGAACGGCCCGGACGCAUACUGGGGGAAGCGGUGGGAGAUAUUGCACGAUGGGCGGAAGGCUGAAGGAGCAACGCCGCGUGCUGAAUGACGGCCGUCAGAGUAGAACCCGCGUGCGCCUGGAACGAAGCGUGAGUGACGGUAAUGGAUAAAGAAGCACCGGCUAACUACGUG
rnacentral:rRNA from 1 species